CGUCGCCCGGCGGCGGAGUCGGGGGAGGGAGAACGCAGCGCCGCCCCACGUGUUCAAAGCGCCUCGCUCCCCACCACUGCACGGAUGGGGAAACUGAGGCACGGAGUAUGGCAGCGGCUGCCUCGGCGCACAGAACGCGUCAGCGGCAAAAGGCUGGGAAGAAGAGUCCAUUGUGACUAGAAAGAAUUCCAAUGUUUGGAGAAAUAACAGUUAAUACUUUUUUCUACAAUCUGAAAGUGGGACUUAAUGGAACGCUGGCUGCAACCUUUCAUCUGCAAGUGGUGGCUAAGGAGCUCCAAACUAAAGCAACAUCCAUAUGAUUGGGGAGAUAAGCUCCUAACUUGUGAGAGUUUCUAAUGCUACAGUGUAGAUGAUGGGAUACUACACAAUCUGACACAGGAUCAGCUAUGUCCUGGCUGGAGGCAACACAAUUUAUACCAUUAGUGAACUCAAACAAGACAAUACCAGAUGGUGAAAGGAUCCACUUUUCCAGCCUACAACAUUCCUUUAUGAUGGCCAUGCACAGAAAAUGAAUAUUCAGACAUCCACAAGAGCACAUUUCUUAACUCAUUAAAAUUGUCUGUUCUAUAUGUAAUUGCAAAGAUUGUGGGUCACAAUUACUGACUGCACAUCAAACAUUGAGGUUUAAGGUAGCAACCUGUGCAUUUUUAGAGCAAACCUCCUACUGGGUUUGCUUCUAAAGCUAGAAAUGAAAAUAGCAGCUUAACUGGGAAAGAGGCGUACUUUCCAUUUCAAUGCUGACAGUUACCACUUCCAUUCCAGGUUCUGAAGUGAGUGAAGAAGCAGACUUCAGUGUCCUCUUUACAUACAUACAUAGAGACCCCUUCUGAAAGACAGGCUAGGUUAGUUAAUGAGAUUGAAUGUUCUCCUUCAAGACAGAGUAGGGUAUUAAACAACUGUUCCCCUUCUCCAACCAGCCUACGGAAGUCUUAUGUUAUUAGUACUUUCUCUUCUUGCCUGCAUUCCCCCAACCAAGGUAUUUCAGUUCUUAAUAGGCACUCAAUGUUCAGAGGCCCAGGGAGGAAGGUGCCCCGCUGGUCGCUCCCAGAUUCCUGCUCAGACACCUGGCAGAUCAUCCCAUGCCCCUUUGUUCUUUUGGAAGGCAAGGGCGUGGCUUAGAGUAUUCCUGUUCAAGAAGUGAAGCGGUAAGGAAGGGAAGAGUUGUCCUUAUAAUUAUCAACUGUCCUCGGCUCUGCAGUAAAACAGAUGGCACAUUCUGUAUUAAAUAGAACCCCCAUUUGCUUUUGUAGUCAAAUAAGAGCCCAACCUUACUCUUAAACCAAGAUGGCCUCAAAAUCCAGAAAGCCAUACUGUGCCACAAUUAGCUAUCUAGGUGACUUACUCUCUUGUCCUACUGAACAUACACUACUGAAGAUCAGAUCCCCUCUUAUGCAGGGGAAUUCACAGAUAUGAAAAGCUAUCACAGUGAAGUUGUAAAAUAAGACAGAUAUUCACUUUAGUAAUCCCAACAGAUAGGAAAAAGAGGCAGACUGCUAGUCUUUGUAAAAACACGCUCUUAACUACUGUUACCACUUCCUCCUCCCACCUCAGUUUCCCACAUCUAUUACACGUUGACAAUGACAGCAAACUUUGAAGCAGGGGCUGACUUUUAGUAUGUCAUAAGGGGGUCAUGAUCUUGACUAGGACCUCUAGGUGGUAUAGUAAUAUCAAAAGUGUAAUCCCCUCAGAGGAGCUCCCUUUGGUACAGUUGAC